UGGGGAGUAUUGGACAAUGGGCGAAAGCCUGAUCCAGCCAUGCCGCGUGGGUGAAGAAGGCCUUCGGGUUGUAAAGCCCUUUUGUUGGGAAAGAAAUCCUGUCGGUUAAUACCCGGCGGGGAUGACGGUACCCAAAGAAUAAGCACCGGCUAACUUCGUGCCAGCAGCCGCGGUAAUACGAAGGGUGCAAGCGUUACUCGGAAUUACUGGGCGUAAAGCGUGCGUAGGCGGUUCGUUAAGUCUGUCGUGAAAGCCCUGGGCUCAACCUGGGAAUUGCGAUGGAUACUGGCGGGCUAGAGUACGGUAGAGGAUGGUGGAAUUCCCGGUGUAGCGGUGAAAUGCGUAGAGAUCGGGAGGAACACCCGUGGCGAAGGCGGCCAUCUGGACCAGUACUGACGCUGAGGCACGAAAGCGUGGGGAGCGAAACAGGAUUAGAGACCCGUGUAG
rnacentral:rRNA from 1 species